UCUUUCUUCUGCCGUCGUCGUUGUCGAAACCAUUUGCAGAGAUUUUGUUCUUCUUUGUGUUUCCUUUCUCGAGAUUUACUUCCCUCAUCAUUGUCGCAAAAAAAUUAUUAUAGGAGAAGGUCAUCAAAUGUACUUAGAGAAAAGACUAAGAGAAAAUUGGUUUAGUCGAUGAAUUGGGGAAGAAAGGUGAAGACGUGAUAUGCGAUUCGGAAUCAGAAGAGGAAAUUAGGGAUUUGGACAUGAACGAAACUGGAAAGAAGUGACCAGUUCUUGAGACAAGUGAUGGCGAGGGGAAAAGAAAAAAGAGAUAUAAGAACAGGAACAAGAAGAGUUAUGAUUUCGAUGAGAUGUCAAUUUCUUCUGAUGUUGGCUCGGUUUCCAACAGUGAGUUCUUUUACCCGGAUUGCAUAUACAUCAACGAGAGACGAAACUGCAACAGUGAACAUUGCUCAAGUGUUAGAGUGGAGGACUCAAAAUGAGAUUGGCAAGAGACUAAUACUUGAUACAGAAGCUCUUGCUGCAGUGGCUAAAGAUGUGCUUAAGAAUGCUCCACAUGUCUGCUUCUAAUUACUAAACCUCACACAAAAAGAAAGGAUUCUGUUUAACCUCUUGGUUUCUGAUAAGGUCAUGCUCGAUGCUUCAAAACAAACAGGAUGCUUGCAGAUCUUUCAUUCUCUUCAAAGAGGUUAACCAAGGUUCUCACAACUUUUUCCACCAUAUAAAACAUUGUAGCCCUGAAAAUUCAUGCUUUCAGUUAUAUAUUUUUAUUAUCCUCUGAGGAACUCAAGACGAAGCUAACAAAAUUGUGCUGCAUACCAUAAAAAUAUUUUUUCGGUCUACCUUUUUCUGAAAUUUUCGUCAGGUUGGAGUAUUAAUUCUUAUGCUUUUCUAAUUUACUACUAUCAUAUUGGUGAGAGAAGUCAACCUUGAUUAGCUUGAUCUUUGAAGAUAUUAGGCCAGAUUUGUAAAAUACGCAGAUAAGAUAUGCUCUCAGGAUGGUUUGAUAAUGGUGCUUGUGUGAUUGUUUCCAUUUUCAUUGUGUCCUUUCUCUCAGAUUUAUCUCUACUUAUGUGUGCGCAGCUCUGUUGGAGUAUAGGAAGUGUUUCAAGAUGAGAGCGAAAAGAUCUAUGUUAUGCUCGAUGGAAUAAUGCAGAGCCUAAGAGAAAGUAGGGUUACCUCGACGAAUGGUUUACAUGACUAUACAAUGUGAAGAUUUCUAUGUGUCCUAACACAAGAAGCUGUUUCACUUAUAUUAAGUUUUCAUGUUCUUCGUUACUACUACUAAAUAACUUAACCACAUGUAUCAAAAUAGACUCAAGUGUAUACUAUUCAUAAGUAUUUGAAAAGAGGUUAAACUAUCA